rnacentral:rRNA from 1 species
GGUAACCUACCUAUCAGCGGGGGAUAACUAUUGGAAACGAUAGCUAAUACCGCAUAACAAUGUUGGAUGCAUAUUCGACAUUUGAAAGUACCAACUGGUACACUGAGAGAUGGACCCGCGUUGUAUUAGCUAGUUGGUAGUGUAAUGGACUACCAAGGCGAUGAUACAUAGCCGACCUGAGAGGGUGAUCGGCCACAUUGGGACUGAGACACGGCCCAAACUCCUACGGGAGGCAGCAGUAGGGAAUCUUCGGCAAUGGACGAAAGUCUGACCGAGCAACGCCGCGUGAGUGAAGAAGGUUUUCGGAUCGUAAAACUCUGUUGUUAGAGAAGAACGUUGCAUAGAGUGGAAAAUUAUGCAAGUGACGGUAUCUAACCAGAAAGGGACGGCUAACUACGUGCCAGCAGCCGCGGUAAUACGUAGGUCCCGAGCGUUGUCCGGAUUUAUUGGGCGUAAAGCGAGCGCAGGUGGUUUAAUAAGUCUGAUGUAAAAGGCAGUGGCUCAACCAUUGUGUGCAUUGGAAACUGUUAGACUUGAGUGCAGUAGAGGAGAGUGGAAUUCCAUGUGUAGCGGUGAAAUGCGUAGAUAUAUGGAGGAACACCGGUGGCGAAAGCGGCUCUCUGGACUGUCACUGACACUGAGGCUCGAAAGCGUGGGUAGCAAACAGGAUUAGAUACCCUGGUAGUCCACGCCGUAAACGAUGAGUG